GCGGGCCCGGACGGGGGUCUAGACGGCGCGCGGGCGCGUUCGUCAGUCGCUGUUUGGGACGCUGGGCGUGCGGGGGUUCUGUCUCCGCUCAGGUUUCGCAGUCACAGCCAGUUCCUUCCCGGAGCCCGGGACGGGCUGGGCGCGCAUCCGUGUGAGUGAGCGGGACUCAGGGCAGAAGUGUCCCCUCACUGCGUUUUUUUCUUCCUUUUAUGCAAAGAACGGGGCAGUUCGCACGCUUGCCUUCCUGUCGCCCGGUUGGGAGCGGGGUUGGUGUGCGGAGUGGUUCGCCUUUUUUUUCUUUUGAACUUGUGAGCGCUUUUUUUUUUUUCUUUUUCUUUUUUUAGGCUCAGUGCCGUCCGGGCUGGUUUCCCCGGUCCCUGACUAACUGCUUUCUGCCCCUUCUCUCGCUACCCCUGCCCAAGGUCGCCCCUCUGCCCUCGCCCCUGGCCCGGGAGGGUGGGAAGCUUUGACCCCGCCCUGCCCACUCGCGUCUCCGCAGCCGUAGCCGCACCUGCCCCAAUAUGAAUAGGGUCAACGACCCACCUAUUUUUAUAAGAGAUAUUAAGCCCGGACUGAAAAACUUAAAUGUCGUCUUUAUUGUCCUGGAGAUAGGACGCGUGACCAAAACCAAAGACGGCCAUGAAGUGAGAUCGUGCAAAGUAGCAGAUAAAACGGGCAGCAUCACUAUUUCCGUGUGGGAUGAGAUCGGAGGUCUUAUCCAGCCAGGGGAUAUUAUUCGGUUGACCAGAGGGUAUGCAUCCAUGUGGAAAGGAUGUCUGACACUUUAUACUGGAAGAGGUGGUGAACUUCAAAAAAUUGGGGAAUUUUGUAUGGUUUAUUCAGAAGUGCCAAAUUUCAGUGAACCCAACCCAGGUUAUCGAGGACAGCAGAACAAAGGGGCACAGAGUGAACAGAAGAAUAAUUCCAUGAGUAGUAAUAUGGGUACAGGUACAUUUGGACCAGUGGGAAAUGGUGUUCACACUGGCCCUGAAUCAAGGGGACACCAGUUUUCACAUGCUGGCAGAAGCAAUGGCUGGGGACUUAGAAAUCCACAACUACCAGGAACAGCUAAUAAUCAAACAGUGACGACCACAAUAAGUAGUGGCAGGGACCCUCGGAGAGCCUUUAAAAGAUGACCUAGGCCCAAUAUUCACAUGUAGUUUUUAUACUACAUGCCCUACUUGAACACUUAUUGCACUUUUAUUUAUUGUUAACUGUGAAAAGUAUGUCCUUUAUUGGAUUUCCUUUUGUAUUCUUGGUUUGUUAAGAAGAAUGGUUUGUUUUUAUAGCAAAACUGUUAAGCUGCUCAAGUCUCCUAUUGAAGAAUGGGAACACUGAAAAGUAGGGUCAUUUAUUUUUAGAGCAAAAAGACUGUUGGAUAGCCUCUAAAAAGUCUGCACCCAUUUCAUGGGGAAGUCUCCAAAAUCAAAGCAAAGUGAGUCACAAUCCAUAAUGAAUAUUUGGCCUUACCAGCCUACUGGAACACACUCCUCAAGAAGUUAAGAGGAAGAAAGUUUUCUACCUUCCUCCUUCCUGGUGCUUGCAGCUAUCAACUUUGAAAUAAGUUUAAACACCUACUGAAAACAAAAACCAAUUAGUAUCAAAAUAUCCCCCACCAGAAUUGGGUUCCCCAUAUCAUUUCUACAAAGCAGUUCUGGGGUGGAUCAAAGUCUUAUCAGAUCAGCUUGCUCCUUCUUGUUUGGGCAGGUUCUAGGAGAAGUAGCUCUAAUACAAAACUGAAAGAUGAAAUCCAUAAAGCCAGAUAAUAUUUAGCAGGGAUGGCUACAGUAUGCUUUCCAUGGGUAUUUACACACUCAGUUUUUCCUAGUGUACCAGUGCUUUAUACUUUGUCCCUAUAGUCUUUGUACUUUUAACUUUGAUGACCAUUUAACUUGAGGAUAAUCAAUAUGUGCAGUACUAUUUGUCAUUUGUAUUUUUAUCAUUUAGCAUUUUAAAUGAGUGUUUAAUUUGUUAGGUUGAGUAAUGCAAGGGAGAGAUGCUAAAAACAGAUAGGAAGUUAAUAAAAGAUUAAAGUUCUAAUUUAUGAUAUGAGAACUUCUAAAGUAUAGGAAAGUAGGCAAAUGGCCCUAAAAUGUUUUCUCAGAAGGUACAAGCUUUACAUCAGUCUGAAGACAUACAGAUCUAACAUUUCAGUUUAGUUACUGAAAUGACUGACAUUUUCUGGUGGUGGUAACAUACUGGCUAUUUGCUCCAAGCCAUUUUAGGCUCAGAAUGACUCUUAAGUUCUUCUAAUGUAUAUAAAGCAUUCUAGAAACAGCAAACUGAACAUGAUAAGAGGCAGUACCAACAUGGAAUUCCCCCAAACAAGUCCUCUCUAACCUUACUGAGCUUACUUGUCCUAUUACUAAUAUGUAUACAUAUAUGAUCUUCUGUUCCUUCUCUGUUUUAUCCCUUACCUGAUGAAAGUUUGAACAUUUCUAGUGGAAAAAGAAGAUCAUAGUUCUCUAGUAUGGGCAGUAAGAAGGGUACAGGUUGGGGUAGGGGUACAGUGGUAGGCUGCCUCCACUGGGUUUGAAAACUUGUGUGCCUAGGUUUCAACCAGUGAUUAUACUGGGUAAUUAACCAGUCCCAUAUUUCACAAAAGAGUUGUAAUGAUUAACAGUUCAGGUAUGCUUCUGAGGAAAUCUAAUUGUGACCUUUGGAAAAUAGCACUGUUAUGAAUGGUGUGGUUUACGCCCUGAGGGAGAAGCUAGAAAAACAUUUUACUUUUCAGGUAUAUUUAAAUUAUAUCGAAAUGUCUCAGAGUUUGCUUUACUGGGAACUUCCUCAGUUUGGAGUUCAAAUAUUGUAACCAAAUUACUCCAAGUUUCUGAACUAAAAUAAUCUAUUGAUGUUUCUCAAAGUAUAGAUCACAGAGUAAGAAAAGGGGAAAUCAAGUCUGGUUUAUGACCAGCUUUUUUCCAUGUUGACAUUAGACCUAGAGAUAAUACUAAGAGAUUUUACUGUGAGAUAACCAGUGAUGUGAAGACAGACAUUUUAAGAAGUUUGACUAGUGGACAUUUCGUUUAAGCCUUUAGGGAAGUCUUGAUCAACAACUCAACAGUUUUAUUGCUGCUCCCCAGGCUUUGCGAACAUGUCAACCCAAGGCUUGGAUGAUCAUUGUUGACUGUAAAAGAGCACAGGUCUCUUGAGAGUUUAUUGACACACCGCUGGUCACACCCCCACAAUAUGUCUCAACCUCUGUUGAAGGGCUAGUGACAUUUUAAAAAACCUGUUAUUUCCAAUCAGAAAUUUAAGUUUUAUGUCUUCAUUCCAUCAAAAUUCAUGCUGCUCAGCAUAGGGUAGUCUCGUUUCUUGGUGUGUAUAUUAAAUACAUUGAAUAAAAUUCUUAAUGGAUUUAGAAACCAUGUACAUGAGACUUCCCCGGAACUUGUCAAAAGUUCAUAUGGCACCUCUGCACUAAUAACAUUAGUGUACGUUUGGGAGACCGGCACUUGAAAUCCUGAAGUUGCUUGCCUCCUGCCCUUGCACUCUCCCUUUGUAGUGAAAUUAUAUACAUAUGUUUUCUCAGUUUCUUUUACCUUUUUGAGGCUGAUACAUGUUGAAGUUUUGGGUUGUAAAACAAGUUGUACUUAAUGUGGCUCCAGAGGGCAGAAUAGUUGGGUAAAGCGUAUAGCCCCAAGCAGAAUAAGAGGUUCAGUUAGGCCUCUGGAUGUGGGCAUUGAAAAUUUUGAAUUAGGUUCAAAUAAAAUUAAAUUAUACGUCAAUGCUAAGAUCAGAUAUUAAUAGGGAGGUCACAUGACUUCCUUGGAGCCUAUCAAGAUAAAAUGCUUUUUUUUUGCUCUAAGUUUUUGAAAAUUAGAGUUAAUUGUUGCUCAUCUCAGCAAAUUCCUGUUUUCGGCCUCCUCUGCCUUCCUCCUGUCCCUCAGUUCCCUACUUUAUUAUAUGAAAGAAGGCUGGCCAAAUUGAAAAGUAGUUGAGUUGGAAAGCUCAAAAAUAUUUUUGAAAAUACGUACAGAAACCACCCUUCGUCUUCCACAUAAAGAUCUCAGUCCUGUUCGAUACAGAGAGGUGACUACAAUGAAUAUUUUCUACACGUUAACAUGGAAAGCGUAAUUUGAGUGCCAUGUUUUUCUAAUCUUCACUAAUGGUUGUAGCCCUGGUAGGAAACAAACUGACCUAUUGCCGGGCUACUUGAAUAAAAACAAGGUAGUCGGUACAACUAGUGCCAUCUACUGGGUCAUUACUGCAUAGUUUGUCUGUUUAGAAAUCUGGCUUAGUUUAACACGUGGGGAAACAGUGCUAUUCCAUUGAAAGUAAUUUUUGCCUGAUAGUGUAAGCAUGAUAUGGAAAAUCAUUAAGGGGCAGUUGGGCCAUUUGUUUAGUACUAGUUUAUGAACAAUCAACACUGACAUUAAAUUUCAGUUAAGUAGAUUAAACCCUGAACUGCCCCUAAAGCCAUAGGAAAUAUGGGAAAGGUUGCCAAGUUUUGUAUUCUCAUUACAUUUGUCAAUAUUGUUGGUGAGAAGUGUAACCUGUUAAAAAUGCCUUUUGGUGAAUGGUGGUUUGGUAAAGACAAUUGAAGUGGAACAUGACACUGCCCUUACAAAUUUUAUUCCCUUACCCAAUGGUAAUUGUAAAAUCCUGGCCAAAUGACUCUGCUGCUGUUGUAGUUAUGUUGAGCUUCACAGAACUUUGCAGAACAUAACCUAUUUUAAAUGCCAGAAUGUGCUUCAGUGAAAAAGAACAUGGUUUUGGGCUGAGGAGAUCUUGGGUUGAGUCCUGAUUUUAUUAUUUGCUGGCUCCAAGACUGUGAACCUCGUUGUAAAAUGAUAGUGGGGCUAGGUACUCGUACUGUUAGGAGGACUGUGUGACCUAAUGUAUGCAAAAUAUCUGCUCUGUAUCUAAGGCUCAACAAAUGUUAAGCACUUUCCCCAUCAGCAUCGGAAAUAAGAAAAUACUGUUCAUUUCUCCGUGUCAUUAUUAGAAAACAAUCUUCUAUAAUUUAAAAUCUGAAAUAUUAAACAAUAUAUAUGAAUUAUUACAAUUAUGUUCUUUUUUAAACAAUCAAACCAAGUUUUUCUUGUCUUCUCUGGGCACAGAAAAGCAUUUAUGCUGACAAUUUACCAUGACAGCAUGUAGGGUUGGGUCUUCGUUACAAAGCUCUGCCCACUAGCUGAGUACACUGUGGUGUUUUUCAUUCACCUCUGUCAGGCAGGGACAACAUGAUGAAAGUGCAGAGAACUUGUGGGUCCAGGUUUGUGUUGGAAAGGAGGUCAGUGGCUUGCUUAGAGCCAGGCAGAGGGCACACUGGAAGGAAUUCUGUGUUCCCAGUGACAGCCCUCGGGAUUGCUAUGCACCCAGAGGUGUGGAGUAAUUUAUUGGCUUCUGAUAACUAUAGUAUUGGAUAACUUCCCAAGAUUUUAUUAAAAAUUUUAAAUAUAUAGCCAUGUUGAAAGAAUUUUAGUGUACACAUCUACAUACCACUAGAUUUUGCCACUAUCACAUAUCUGUGCAUCCUAUUAAUACAUUUUUAAUUAUUAUUAUUUUUGAGACAGAGUCUCUCUCUCUCUCACCCAGGCUGGACUGCAGUGGUGCGAUCUUGGCUCACUGCAAGCUCUGCCUUCUGGGUUGAGGCGAUUCUUUCACCUCAGGGUCCUGAGUAGCUGGGACUACAGCGGGGAACCACCACACCCAGUUAAUUAUUGUAUUUUUGGUAGAGAAGGGGUUCAUCAUGUUGCCUCAGGUUGGUCUUGAACCCCUGGGCUCAGGUGAUCCUCCGGCCUCAGCCUCUUGAAGUGCUAGCAUUACAGGCAUGAGUCACCAUGCCCAGCUAGCCGUUAAUACAUUUUUAAUACAGUUUUAGUUAACUACAGACAUCGGUACAAUUUUCCCUAAAUAUUGCAACAUGCCUAUUUAGACUUCAGUAUUUUUCCGUUUUUUUGGUAAAAUUUACAAAGAAAUGUACAAAUCUUACGUGUGCAUUAGUAAGUUUUAACAAAUGCCUAACUAGGCUUGUAUAACAACCUCUAUCAAGAUAUGGAACACUGCUGUCACUCUAAAAGUCUCUCAUGUGCCUUCCCCAGUCAAUCUCUCUUUCCAUGGCCGCAGCUUCCAUCACUCUUCUGAUACUUUAAAAACAUUCUUAUCUGAAAAGAAAAUUUCAUACGUGCCAAAGUCAUCUCUAGAUUUCUCCAAGUUUUAUAACUCUCAACUAUGCCACAGUACAGCCAAACUUAGCUCCCUCAUGUAUCCUAAAUGUAGUUCCAAGAUCUUGGUACUUUAUUCUUUUCCUGUUUCAACUUAGCUCCAGCUCUUUUUUUUCCAUCAGGAUUUACACCUGUCAUCUUUGACAUCUGGGGCAGAAACUGCUGAAAUGAAGGAGGCCGUGACUUCUAAGGACUGGCUGAAAAGAGUUGGCACACGACUCCUCUGCCCUGAACAGCUCUAAGCAAGAGAAUAAGACUGUGGUGGGGCGUGAUAUGAAGUCCUCAGAGAUAGAGUGCCAGGAGUAGAGGGGGUAUCCUGGAACUUCAGUGUUCACCGGUUGAUGCUCAGUUCUUCAGCACAUAUUGAUUCUUAAGCUCUGAUUUUCUUAAGGCAUGAACUGAGCUGAAGUGCCUUCUCAGGAUUUUGUCCUCCUAGGUUGGCAUUCGGAAUUGGCAUAGCCAGAGAGUGUAAGUUACUUGUCAAGCAAAGACCCUCCCUCCUCCCACUCCAACCCCCACCCCGAGUCUACAAGGAAGCAUUCCUGAGUGAAACUAAAAAGACCUAGUCAUGUGUUCUUUCCCAGUGUGUGUGCAAGUGCGCAUAUGUACACAAACACAUGACACGUUAUCACUGCCAACAGAGUUGUUUCUGUAUUGAACGCCACAUUUCUGAGUCAUAUGCAUGUCAGGUCUUUGCUUUUCUUUCUCCUCAGUUGUUUAAGGAUCUUCUCCUUCCACUUCUUUAAUGGGCUUCCUACACUUUGUUGAGCACUAACUAUAUGCCAAGUACUAUGCUAGUGCGUUUCCUACAAAUGAGGCUGAGAGGGAGGUUUUGUUAUUCCCAUGAGAAGAACCGAGUAGCUUGCAUGAGAUCACACAAUUAGGUGACAACCAAGUCUAACAUACGGAAGCCCAUACUGUUAUGACUCAGCAAUAGUGAACCUUGAGGCUGCUGCUGACAUUGGACGGUGCUUCAUAGAGGAGCUAGAAUUGGAGUUAGUUUUGAAAGAGGUAUAUGCAGAGGGGAAGAUGGAGAACAUAAAUGUGGAAUUUGACUAUAUUUUUACCUGAGAUUAGUCAUACUUUCAAUGUCAACUUAUUACAGACCCAAUUAAUCAAAUUUAAGUGUACAGUAGUAGUGGUAUCAAAUCAACAGGGAAAAUAUGGACUCUUGGAUAUUGGGAUAACUGGAUACUCUCCCUAACCCCCACAUAAACAGGAAAAAACCAUGUGUAAAAUCUAUUAAGAAUGAAGAAAAUUUUCUUAAAGUCCAGAAGCAUUAAAGGAAAGAUUGAUCAAUUUGACUACAUUUACAUGUUAAAAAAUAAAAUGACAACUAAGAAAAUUAUGUGUAAUAUCACAAAGAGCUAAUAUUCCCAACAUAAAAUGAACUUUUAAAAAUAGAGAAGACAAAACACACUAUGGAAAAAUCGACAAAACAUAUGGACAGCUCACAGAAAAAAGUUCAGAUGGCCCUUAAGUAUAUAAAAAGAUGCUCAAAUUCACUUAUAAUGAAAGAUGUAAAUUAAAAUACCACUGAGAUGCCAUUCUUCACUUUUAGAUUGGAAAAAGUAUGAAAGUUUGAAAACAUACUCUCUUGGCUGGAUCCGGUGGCUCAUGCCUAUAAUCCCAGCACUUUGAGAGGCCAAGGCGGGUGGAUCACCUGAGGUCAGGAGUUCGUCUCCACUAAAAAUACAAAAAGUUACUGGGUGUGGUGGUGCGCACCUGUAAUCCCAGCUACUUGGGAGGCUGAGGCAGGAGAGAAUUGCUUGAACCUGGAGGCAGAGGUUACAGUGAGCCGAGAUUGUACUACUGCACUCCAACCUGGGUGACGAGAGUGAAACUCCAUCUCAAAAUAAAAAAAAAGCAAAGAAAAAAGAAAACAUACUGUCUUGGUAACACUAUUGGAACAGAAACAUUCACUUAUGGAGGAUGCAAAACUGUAUAAUCUCUAUCUGGGGGAAUUUGGCAAUUUUACACUUGAAUUUGCCCUGUCACCUGCUGUAUUACUCCUUUUGUAUUUCUAUCAAGAAACAGCUGAGGCUGGGUAAUUUAUAAAGAAAAGAGGUAUAUUUUAUUCAUGGUUCUUCAGGCUGUACAAGCAUGGCUGUUAGCAUCUGCUCAGCCUCUGAUGAGGCCCAGGAAGCUUUUGGUCAUGGUGGAAGAGAAGAGGAGCCAGUAUAUUACAUGACGAGAGGGAGCAAGAGAAAUACCAGGCUCUUUUAAGCAACCAGCUCUCACAUAAACUCACUGCUACUGAGAAAGUGCCAAACCAUUCAAGAGGGAUCCACUAUCAUGACCCAAACACCUCCUCUUAGGCUGCAUCUCCAACAGUGGGGAUCAUAUUUCAACAUGAGAUUUGGAGGAGACAAAUAUCAAAUAUCCAAACCAUAUCACCCACAUUUAGUAAUGUCUCUCCACGGUAGAUGAUUUGCAAAUGGUUGGUAGUGUACCCCUCCCCUGGAAGAAGGGAGGCAUGUUUGCAUGUCUUUGGUUAGUCCUCUUUUCUACUGACAGUGGGCUUGUCCAUGUGGCCUGCUUGAUCAAAAUGACAAUAGUGAACUUGAUGCCCAUAGAAGCUUGAAAAGUGCUUGGGUGUUGAGCUGGCUCUCUUGAUGUGCUUGGAGCCCUGAGACUGCCAGGAGACCAUAUAAAUGAGUACUAGGUAGCCUGCUGGAGGAUGAGAGGUCACUUGAGAAACUUUGGCUCAUAGCCUGCUAACACCAGACACACGGAUGAGUCUGUCUUAGACUAUCCAGCUCCAGCUGAGCUGCCAGCUGACUUCAGUCACAUGAAUGAGAACAACAGAAGGCCAGCACUGAGCUCUGCCAAAAUUGCUGACCUACAGAAUCUUGAGCUAAUGAAUGAUUGUUGCUUUAUGCCAUCAAGUUCUGAGGUAGUGUGCUAUACAUAGCAAAAGCUAACUGAUACAAAACCAAAGAUACAAUGGCACAAAUAUGAAAAGACGUGUUCACUGAAGCAUUGCCUACAAUAGCUAAAGACUGGAAACAACUCAGAUGUCCACCAACUCAGGAAUGGUUGAACACUACAGUGCAUGCAGGCCGUGGAAUACUAAGCAGCUCCAACAGGGGUAGGAAAUUUGUCUACUUCCAUACAAUGAUUUUUAGGCUAUAUUGUUAAGUGAAAAAAAAAAAACAAGGUGCAGAAUAGUUAAUAUUCUACCUCUUAUUUAAUAAAGGGAGAAUAUAAAUA